CAGUAGCCGCGGUAAUACGUAGGUGGCAAGCGUUGUCCGGAAUUAUUGGGCGUAAAGCGCGCGCAGGUGGUUUAAUAAGUCUGAUGUGAAAGCCCACGGCUCAACCGUGGAGGGUCAUUGGAAACUGUUAAACUUGAGUGCAGGAGAGAAAAGUGGAAUUCCUAGUGUAGCGGUGAAAUGCGUUGAGAUCGGAAAGAACACCAACGGCGAAAGCACUCUGCUGGGCCGACACUGACACUGAGAGACGAAAGCUAGGGGAGCAAAUGGGAUUAGAUACCCCUGUAGUCCCUGUCUCUUAUAC
rnacentral:rRNA from 1 species